CUCUAUAGCCAUGCCACCCUGAAUGAGCCCGAUCCCGUCCAAUCUCAGAAGCUAAACAGAGUCGAGCCUGGUCAGUACUUCGAUGGGAGACCACCUAGGAAGACCAGGUGCUGUAGGCA
rnacentral:rRNA from 1 species